rnacentral:rRNA from 1 species
AGAGUUUGAUCCUGGCUCAGGACGAACGCUGGCGGCGUGCCUAACACAUGCAAGUCGAACGAAGCUUUGAGGAGCUUGCUUUUUAAAGCUUAGUGGCGGACGGGUGAGUAACGCGUGAGCAACCUGCCUCUCAGAGGGGAAUAACGUUUUGAAAAGAACGCUAAUACCGCAUAACAUAUCGGAACCGCAUGAUUCUGAUAUCAAAGGAGCAAUCCGCUGAGAGAUGGGCUCGCGUCCGAUUAGUUAGUUGGUGAGGUAACGGCUCACCAAGACUACGAUCGGUAGCCGGACUGAGAGGUUGAUCGGCCACAUUGGGACUGAGACACGGCCCAGACUCCUACGGGAGGCAGCAGUGGGGGAUAUUGCGCAAUGGGGGAAACCCUGACGCAGCAACGCCGCGUGAAGGAAGAAGGUCUUCGGAUUGUAAACUUCUUUUGUCAGGGACGAAGAAAGUGACGGUACCUGACGAAUAAGCUCCGGCUAACUACGUGCCAGCAGCCGCGGUAAUACGUAGGGAGCGAGCGUUGUCCGGAUUUACUGGGUGUAAAGGGUGCGUAGGCGGCCGAGCAAGUCAGUUGUGAAAACUAUGGGCUUAACCCAUAACGUGCAAUUGAAACUGUCCGGCUUGAGUGAAGUAGAGGUAGGCGGAAUUCCCGGUGUAGCGGUGAAAUGCGUAGAGAUCGGGAGGAACACCAGUGGCGAAGGCGGCCUACUGGGCUUUAACUGACGCUGAGGCACGAAAGCAUGGGUAGCAAACAGGAUUAGAUACCCUGGUAGUCCAUGCCGUAAACGAUGAUUACUAGGUGUGGGGGGACUGACCCCUUCCGUGCCGCAGUUAACACAAUAAGUAAUCCACCUGGGGAGUACGGCCGCAAGGUUGAAACUCAAAGGAAUUGACGGGGGCCCGCACAAGCAGUGGAGUAUGUGGUUUAAUUCGAAGCAACGCGAAGAACCUUACCAGGUCUUGACAUCCUGAGAAUCCUUAAGAGAUUAGGGAGUGCCUUCGGGAACUCAGAGACAGGUGGUGCAUGGUUGUCGUCAGCUCGUGUCGUGAGAUGUUGGGUUAAGU